AGCCCUGGGCGGCUCCGGGCGCUGCGUGCCGACGGCCUUUCUCGCACAUGUGGAGCCCUGUUCCACAGCUGGCCUAUCUGGCAACCCAGUGGCAUCUCCGUGGCCAGGCACGUUGGAGCCAGGGUGGAAAGCGAUGGUGUGUGGCCUCCCUGGGAUUUGGUCCGGGAAGAUGUUUUAAUCUGGAGCCAAAGUGGGCUUGAUGCACUGCCUCUUGUCUCCAUUUCCCCACCAGCCACAGCCAUGCCAUGGGUAGGUGUGGAGCCCAGCCACGGUGCUUUGGGUAUCCACAUUCCCUGUGUAAAAAUAGGCCCCAGGGUUUUGAUGGGCAUGGAGGGGUCAGGAGGUCUGGUUUGUUCCUCACAGUCACCGAGGAUGAGCACUUCUCCAGUUUCCCAGCUGCUUGCUCCACAUUGUGAUUUCAACACUGCAAUGCCUUUAUCCUACAGUUCCUGGCCCACUGGUCCACAGCCAGAGCCUCAUUGAUCUGGAUGCAUUCAGAAAAGCAAGAGGCCCACAGUCCCAUCUCAUUUGCUGCUGUGCAGGCACUCAACAAUGAUGAUCUCUGUCAUAAGGCAGAGCUUCCAGCUGAAAAGCUCUUUGUUGUCUCUACUUGUCCGUGUUAAACAUUCCUCUGCAGAGCGCGUUUAAUAUUUGCUAAAUAUACUGUAAUUACUGCAUGGAA